rnacentral:rRNA from 1 species
UGAGGAAUAUUGGACAAUGGGUGGAAGCCUGAUCCAGCCAUCCCGCGUGUAGGAAGACGGCCCUUAUGGGUUGUAAACUACUUUUAUCUGGGGAUAAACCUACUUACGUGUAAGUAGCUGAAGGUACCAGAUGAAUAAGCACCGGCUAACUCCGUGCCAGCAGCCGCGGUAAAUACGGAGGGUGCAAGCGUUAUCCGGAUUUAUGGGUUUAAAGGGUCCGUAGGCGGCUUAUAAGUCAGUGGUGAAAUCCGACAGCUUAACUGUCGAACUGCCAUUGAUACUGUGAGCCUUGAGUAAGGUUGAAGUGGCUGGAAUAAGUAGUGUAGCGGUGAAAUGCAUAGAUAUUUACUUUAGAACACCAAUUGCGAAGGCAGGUCACU